GCCUGAUAUAAAAUUUAGUUUGUCUUUGAACUUCCCUUUCUCUCAAGUCUCAGACUACAGCCUGUGCAUACUCAAAAGAACAAAAUAGCAACCGCUAAAUUGUGCAGUUGAUAACAGUUGUGAUAAUUGCCUUUCUAUAUUUUCUUCCAUUGUUUUUUAAGAGGUUGCAUUCCACUUGCAGCUUAGAAUUGUAGUAAUUUUAUUAAUCCCAAAGAGAGUUGUUCAUAUGUUCAUUUUUUGACAAUGUGAAACUGUUGGAGCUUUGAAUCUUCCUUUGAAAAUUUAUUAAUACGUGGACAUAAUCUAAAGUAUUU
rnacentral:misc_RNA from 1 species